UACGUAGGGGGCUAGCGUUGUCCGGAUUUAUUGGGCGUAAAGAGCGUGUAGGCGGCCAGGUAGGUCCGUUGUGAAAACUCGAGGCUCAACCUCGAGACGUCGGCGGAAACCCUCUGGCUAGAGUCCGGAAGAGGAGAGUGGAAUUCCUGGUGUAGCGGUGAAAUGCGCAGAUAUCAGGAAGAACACCCGUGGCGAAGGCGGUUCUCUGGGACGGUACUGACGCUGAGACGCGAAAGCGUGGGGAGCAAACAGG
rnacentral:rRNA from 1 species